rnacentral:rRNA from 1 species
GGAUUAGAUACCCUGGUAGUCCACGCCGUAAACGAUGUCUACUAGUUGUCGGGACUCUUGCAGUCUUGGUAACGCAGCUAACGCGAUAAGUAGACCGCCUGGGGAGUACGGCCGCAAGGUUAAAACUCAAAUGAAUUGACGGGGGCCCGCACAAGCGGUGGAGCAUGUGGUUUAAUUCGAAGCAACGCGAAGAACCUUACCUGGCCUUGACAUCCUGCGAACCUUCUAGAGAUAGGAGGGUGCCUUCGGGAACGCAGAGACAGGUGCUGCAUGGCUGUCGUCAGCUCGUGCCG